rnacentral:rRNA from 1 species
UACGUAGGUGGCAAGCGUUGUCCGGAAUUAUUGGGCGUAAAGCGCGCGCAGGUGGUUCCUUAAGUCUGAUGUGAAAGCCCACGGCUCAACCGUGGAGGGUCAUUGGAAGCUGGGGAACUUGAGUGCAGAAGAGGAAAGUGGAAUUCCAAGUGUAGCGGUGAAAUGCGUAGAGAUUUGGAGGAACACCAGUGGCGAAGGCGACUUUCUGGUCUGUAACUGACACUGAGGCGCGAAAGCGUGGGGAGCAAACAGG